CCUACGGGGGGCUGCAGUGGGGAAUAUUGGACAAUGGGGGGAACCCUGAUCCAGCCAUGCCGCGUGUGUGAAGAAGGCCCUCGGGUUGUAAAGCACUUUCAGUGAGGAAGAACGCCUGGUGGUUAAUACCCAUCAGGAAAGACAUCACUCACAGAAGAAGCACCGGCUAACUCCGUGCCAGCAGCCGCGGUAAUACGUAGGGUGCGAGCGUUAAUCGGAAUUACUGGGCGUAAAGCGCGCGUAGGUGGCUUGAUAAGCCGGUUGUGAAAGCCCCGGGCUCAACCUGGGAACGGCAUCCGGAACUGUCAAGCUAGAGUGCAGGAGAGGAAGGGAGAAUUCCCGGUGUAGCGGUGAAAUGCGUAGAGAUCGGGAGGAAUACCAGUGGCGAAGGCGGCCUUCUGGACUGACACUGACACUGAGGUGCGAAAGCGUGGGUAGCAAACAGGAUUAGAUACACCUGUAGUC
rnacentral:rRNA from 1 species